rnacentral:misc_RNA from 1 species
GUGAAGAACGCAGCGAAAUGCGAUAAGUAAUGUGAAUUGCAGAAUUCAGUGAAUCAUCGAAUCUUUGAACGCACAUUGCGCCCCUUGGUAUUCCGAGGGGCAUGCCUGUUCGAGCGUCAUUACACCACUCAAGCUAUGCUUGGUAUUGGGCGUCGUCCUUAGUUGGGCGCGCCUUAAAGACCUCGGCGAGGCCACUCCGGCUUUAGGCGUAGUAGAAUUUAUUCGAACGUCUGUCAAAGGAGAGGAACUCUGCCGACUGAAACCUUUAUUUUUCUAGGUUGACCUCGGAUCAGGUAGGGAUACCCGCUGAACUUAAGCAUAUCAAUAAGCGGAGGA